GACGAACGCUGGCGGCGUGCUUAACACAUGCAAGUCGAACGGAAAGGCCCUGCUUGCCGGGUACUCGAGUGGCGAACGGGUGAGUAACACGUGGGUGAUCUGCCCUGCACUUCGGGAUAAGCUUGGGAAACUGGGUCUAAUACCGGAUAGGAGCCAUCUUUAGUGUGGUGGUUGGAAAGUUUUUUCGGUGUAGGAUGAGCUCGCGGCCUAUCAGCUUGUUGGUGGGGUAAUGGCCUACCAAGGCGGCGACGGGUAGCCGGCCUGAGAGGGUGUACGGCCACAUUGGGACUGAGAUACGGCCCAGACUCCUACGGGAGGCAGCAGUGGGGAAUAUUGCACAAUGGGCGCAAGCCUGAUGCAGCGACGCCGCGUGGGGGAUGAAGGCCUUCGGGUUGUAAACUCCUUUCGCUAGGGACGAAGCUUUGUUGUGACGGUACCUAGAUAAGAAGCACCGGCUAACUACGUG
rnacentral:rRNA from 1 species